CUGGAACAGCGAUCUGCAGCCAGUGGGAGCCACGAUCGGCGGAAUCUGAGGACAGGACAGAUUUAUGAAAUGACCCCUUCAACAUGGCUCAGGGCGCACAUGCUCCUGGAAUAACCCUGCACUGGCAGGGGGAUGCACAGGAUGGUUUAUUAUUAGGAGAAGAGGGCACGAUGACCUAACAUUCUCCAGUUUCUGUGAUUCUAUGCCCCACACAUACCCCUCAUAAACACCAUGCAAAGCAGGUCUUUAAUGUGGGAAAUAGAAUGUUCCUAGUGA